rnacentral:lncRNA from 1 species
GAGUUCAUUAAUUUGAUGUAUACAAUGGGCUUACAACCUCUCAUCACACGCCCAAGCAGGAUCACGACACACAGCGCUACUCUAAUUGAUAAUAUUUUUACUAACGUUAAUGACAUAGUAAGUGGACUCCUGAUAAUUGAUAUAAGUGACCACUUACCAAUCUUUGCUAUCUAUGACUAUAAAUACACUGCGAGACAGACACCUAACAAAAACACAUACAUAAGGGUCAGAACUGAAGAAGGAAUGAAUAUACUGAAAAAUGAACUACUGAGGCAAAACUGGAAUAAUGUUUAUAAUGAAACAGAUGUGAAUGAUGCAUAUGAUUCCUUUUUGCAAAAAUUUAAAACACUGUAUGACAGACACUGUCCUGUGAAAAAGAAACACCCUAAUCAGAAUAAGGAGCAGAAACCAUGGCUCACAAAAACAUUGAUAAACGCCUGCAGGAAGAAAAACACUCUGUAUAGACAGUUCCUAAAAUCAAGGACGGCCCAGUCUGAAGUGAGAUAUAAAAGGUAUAAAAACAAGCUAAACAGCAUCCUAAAGGAAUGCAAGAAAGAAUAUUACAGCAAUCUACUAGCAGAAAAUAUGAAGUAUACUAAAAAAUUAUGGGAUAUUCUAAACAAUGUGACUAAUAAAAAAAGCACAAAGCCUAACUAUCCUCCCUACUUCAAGUAUAACAACAUGCAGGAAGAAAAUCCGGAAGUCAUAACAAAUAGAUUCAAUCAAUUCUUUGUAAACAUCGGGCCAGAGCUAGCCAAGGACAUUCCUGACUCACCCCUACACUGGGACCACUUUGAUAAGGAUGGAGACAGAACUCCCAGCUCAAUGUUUCUCACACCAGUGAAGGACACAGAGAUUAGACAUCUGGUCAACGAAUGCGUAACAAAAACUUCCACUGAUGUUGAUGACUUCGACAUGAGGCUAAUUAAGAAAGUAUUAGACGGAAUUAUUUCACCUCUAACAUACAUUUUUAAUCUGUCAUUUCAAACUGGGAUAUUUCCCACUAAAAUGAAAGUUGCCAAAGUUGUGCCACUGUUUAAGAAUGGUGACACACACGAGUUUACUAAUUACAGACCAAUCUCAAUACUGCCACAACUGUCGAAAAUCCUAGAGAAGCUAUUCAACAAUAGGCUAGAUAACUUCAUCAACAAACACAAAUUGCUAUAUAACAGCCAAUAUGGAUUCAGAAGGAACCACUCGACUGCCUUUGCUCUAACUGAGUCUGUGGAAAUCAUUACUGACGCUAUUGACCAAAAACAACAUUCAAUAGGAAUUUUCAUAGACCUGAAAAAAGCAUUUGACACCGUUAAUCAUGAUAUUUUAAUAGCUAAACUGGAGAGAUAUGGCAUUAGAGGUGUAGCACUAUAGGGGGCGCUAUAAAUGCCAUUAGCUUGUAGCUGAAAACACAAUUUGGAGAAAUCUGGGGCUUAUCAUGGCUAUGUGUUGCACAGAUCUUUGAGGAACACAGCAGCCGAUGUCAUCGACUGCAGGGGAUGAGGGUCAGGGUGGCCGGUUUGGGGCGAAAGAGGUUAGAACCCGCGGAAUGCUGUUUGCAGCUAUAUUUAUUAUUUGUUGUCUGCUGCUUGAGCUCAAAUUCUCGUGAGCUGGAAUGGGCCAGAAACUUGAAACUUUGCCCAUUGAUUGGAAAUGAUGUGCAUCAACUUUUAUUAAAAUAUGAGUGCAGUCAGCCAGAUGGUGGCGCUUUUACUAAGGCUUGAAAAUGUGUUUUUGGGAAGGCCACGCCCCUCACACCGUAAGUCUGACUGACUUGAAGUCCAGGUCCAUGUGCUCUACAAAAAAGCCAAUUGGACCAUGAAGCUCUGCC